GGUGAACGCUGGCGGUAGGCCUAACACAUGCAAGUCGAACGGCAGCACAGUAAGAGCUUGCUCUUACGGGUGGCGAGUGGCGGACGGGUGAGGAAUACAUCGGAAUCUACUUUUUCGUGGGGGAUAACGUAGGGAAACUUACGCUAAUACCGCAUACGACCUACGGGUGAAAGCAGGGGAUCUUCGGACCUUGCGCGAUUGAAUGAGCCGAUGUCGGAUUAGCUAGUUGGCGGGGUAAAGGCCCACCAAGGCGACGAUCCGUAGCUGGUCUGAGAGGAUGAUCAGCCACACUGGAACUGAGACACGGUCCAGACUCCUACGGGAGGCAGCAGUGGGGAAUAUUGGACAAUGGGCGAAAGCCUGAUCCAGCCAUACCGCGUGGGUGAAGAAGGCCUUCGGGUUGUAAAGCCCUUUUGUUGGGAAAGAAAAGCAGCAGGUUUAUACCCCGCUGUUCUGACGGUACCCAAAGAAUAAGCACCGGCUAACUUCGUG
rnacentral:rRNA from 1 species